AAGGAAUAUUGGACAAUGGGGGCAACCCUGAUCCAGCCAUGCCGCGUGAAUGAAGAAGGCCUUAGGGUUGUAAAGUUCUUUCGUCUACGAAGAUAAUGACUGUAGUAGAAGAAGAAGCUCCGGCUAAAUUCGUGCCAGCAGCCGCGGUAAUACGAAUGGAGCGAGCGUUGUUCGGAAUCACUGGGCGUAAAGGGUGCGCAGGCGGUUAUGAAAGUCAGAAGUGAAAGCCCAGGGCUCAACCCUGGAAUUGCUUUUGAAACUCCAUAACUUGAGUAUUGGAGAGGUUGGCGGAAUUCCGAGUGUAGCAGUGAAAUGCGUAGAUAUUCGGAGGAACACCGAUGGCGUAGGCAGCCAACUGGACAAUUACUGACGCUCAUGCACGAAAGCGUGGGGAUCAAAC
rnacentral:rRNA from 1 species